GGCUGCAGCGGAAGCUGAAGGAGAAGGCUGCGCGAGAUUCCUGGAAUGAUAGAACCCUAAUCCUCGCCGGGAAGAGGCGAGCUUGAACUCGUUGCCUAUAUAGCUGACUGAAGAACGCACCCAUUAUAACCAACCCUCAUUGUAUACCCGAUCUGGGAACUGCAUUUGAUGGAGCCCACCAGAAAUGAUGUUGGCCCCACCAGCUGAACCAUGUCCGAGUCUUCUUCACCUCCAUUCCCCUGGUUCGACUGCUGCUCCCUCGGCGAAUCCCCUGCCCUUCCCAGGAGCUUGGCCUUCCGUCCUUGCGCCGCCCCUUCCACCUCGAAGAUCUUUCUUCGUGUCCUUUCUUUCUUUUCAGACGGGAUUCGAAUCUGAUUGCAUUGUUUUGGUAUUCUAUAGUUUCAAAGAUCUCAUUUUGUUGAUGUCUUAGAUCGCCCUUGUCGAUCUGCUCAACAUAAUCUAUUCAGAAGAGAAUGGUUUUUGAAACUGAUGCAACCUUCGUACUGUGUAAUGCAUAACUCUCACUGGUCUGCUGUCAAGCGGCAAUCUUGGAUAGUGAUUUUUGUGUUUUGUCCAUAUCUCAACUGAUUAGCGACGUUCUAAUUUUCCUUCUAUGGUUAAAGUUCUUCUUUAUGUUCCACAGUUGUUUCCCAAAUUCCAAUAGAUAACCUCAUUCGACUAGCAUAUUUGUGUAGAGAUCAAUAAUGAAAUAGGUUAAGCAAGCAAUGUGGAUUAACCUAAUUGUGAAACUGGUUAUCUGAUCUAGUUGCUGGUCAAAUUUCUUCUAUUGUAACUAUUUCCCUGUCCUGAUUGGAAAAAGUAUGUGAACCAAAUUUUCUAUAACUGCUUUGAUUAAUCGACUUCCCUUUUCUGAACUUUAAAUGUGAUAUGAGCAUGAUGUUGAUAUUUUAAAAGGAAUUGAUUUUGAGGUUGAUCAGGGUCCAUUUUGAUGCUUUCCAUUUGCAGGGAUGACUGCUUUUCAGUGACCAUCUGAUUGACUGGUACAUAUAGAGUUUGAGAACUUGAAUACAGAGAUUGUAGGUGUGAAAUGGUGUUUUGGAAAGCAUCAACAACAAUGGAUGGAGGAAGGUCAAACGAAAAUAAUUCUAUUCCAUGAGACAAAAGAAGGAACAAUAGUAGGAGCACCAACUUUGAAAGGAUUGGCACGAGGUCCUCUUCAUAUAUUGAAGGUAAAAGGUGAAAUUAUCACCUCGAUAGCCCUCCAGGGUGGCCCCGCACUGUCUGGAAUGAAGGUAAAUCAUGGGAGGCUUUGCUUAGCAAUAGUGCACGCAAGGAAGGGUUGAGGCAAGACAUUUCUCACUCGUUGGGAAUCGAACUUAGGCCUAUUAGUAACAACACUCUUACAUGAACCAACUGCAUCAGCCUAUGGGGCCCUCUUCAUAUAUGGACUAUGUGAACCGUGUCAUUUUGUUUGUACACAAUUUUGAAGUGCAUUUAUGCAUGAAUCUUAAAUAUAUAUUUUUUCUAAUUUAAUAGCACCUAAAAUACAAUAUAGUAACACCUAUAAUAGAAUCUAAUAGCAAACGAUAAUUCAUUUACUCACUCUGCUUUUCACUCUCAACUGCUUUAGUUGGUUUCAUGUAUUCUUUAGAGUUUGAAAUAGAGUAAGCUUGAUAUGUAUUUCUCAAAAUGUACGAAACAACUAGAAAGGAUAAUGAGAUAACACUAAUUAUAUCUCAAUUUUACUCUCCUAAUCAAAAUAUACUCCAUGACCAUUAACAAAGAAUAUAAACCAAGCAAACUAAAAAUAAACAAUUUUCACAAACCAGACAAAACUCUUCACAAUCUUAAAUCUAACACCAUCUCUAGCUACUAUGCUAUUGCUAGGUCUUUGAUGGCCAACCAAAAUGCUUUGCUGCACAAGAUCCAAGACCGCAAAAGACAGCAACAUCAAAAUGAGGACUAAAUGCUUUGGUUUGCUUUGCUCCCGCUGUUCCCCUCAAAAUAAGAGCACCACCUCAUCCAAAAGCAAAGCAUGCUGUUAGACCAAGCUUUUUUGACUGGGAACCAGAACAGGGAUGAGACUGACUACCUUUGAAAGAAAGGCAAGUUAUGGAUUUUUAACUAGGAAUGUUUUCAAAAACCAUACCAAAUCGAAAUUUUCCAAGAGGUUUAAUUUAUUUAUAAUUUUUUUGUAGAUAUUCUUAUCUGUUCACUUGGAUGCCUUGGUUCAAUAUAGGAUGGAGGUCUUCGAAUCACACCAUCCAAUUUAUAUAUUUUGAAAAAUAAAUGAUUGUCUAAGAAGCUUCAAAAUAGAGUUUAGUGUAAACUAAGACUACCACACAUCAGAAACUCAGCUUCAGUUUACUAUAGAGUUUACCCUUUGCUUAUAAGCUUACACUAAUGUUGUGUUUACUUUAAGGAAAAAGUGAGAGAGAGAUGCUCAUCAAAUUUAAGAAGAGAUUAUGUAACUUCUUUUACUGAUUUAAAACUUAUCUGUCUAAAUAAAUUUGGUUUAAAAUCGAAACUGAUAGCUUAAACUGAAUUACAGGAUACUAAUCU